rnacentral:SRP_RNA from 1 species
GCCGGGUGUGGUGGUGCGCACCUGUGGUCCCAGCUACUCAGGAGGCUGAGGCGGGAGAAUCGCUCGAACCCAGGAGGCAGAGGUUGCAGUGAGCCGAGAUCACCACUGCACUCCAGCCUGGGUGACAGAGUGAGACUCUGUCUCCA